rnacentral:rRNA from 1 species
AGUGAGCGCUGGCGGUAGGCCUAACACAUGCAAGUCGAACGGCAGCACAGUAAGAGCUUGCUCUUACGGGUGGCGAGUGGCGGACGGGUGAGGAAUACAUCGGAAUCUACUUUUUCGUGGGGGAUAACGUAGGGAAACUUACGCUAAUACCGCAUACGACCUACGGGUGAAAGCAGGGGAUCUUCGGACCUUGCGCGAUUGAAUGAGCCGAUGUCGGAUUAGCUAGUUGGCGGGGUAAAGGCCCACCAAGGCGACGAUCCGUAGCUGGUCUGAGAGGAUGAUCAGCCACACUGGAACUGAGACACGGUCCAGACUCCUACGGGAGGCAGCAGUGGGGAAUAUUGGACAAUGGGCGCAAGCCUGAUCCAGCCAUACCGCGUCGGUGAAGAAGGCCUUCGGGUUGUAAAGCCCUUUUGUUGGGAAAGAAAAGCAGUAGGUUAAUACCCCGCUGUUCUGACGGUACCCAAAGAAUAAGCACCGGCUAACUUCGUG